UUUAAAAACACUUAUUAAAACAAUUAAAUUUAAUUUAACAAAAAAAAAAAAAAUCGAUUGAAAACUGCAACGCUUCCCUUCUUCCCCCACGAUCUCAUUAUGUCCACUUCUCAAUUCUUCAGCAAUAAAACACAGAUGAUUUCAUACAAAAAGCUCUCAUCUCUUCUAUUUCUGAUUCAUGUUUCUUGUUGCCUUAAUCAGAUAAAAAAAAUAAAGCUUUGUUCUGAUUUUAGGGUUUCCAUUAUCGCUUGCCUCUUCUUAUCGUAUUUUUCUCUAAUCCAAAUGUUUCUCUAUUGGGGUUUUGAAAUUGUUGAACUAUAGUUCCUUACAUCAAGAAAUUUUGUAAUGAUCGAGUUACAUGAACACCAUGGAAAGGAGAAGGUUCUGGCAAAUUGAGUUUUUUUUUAGGGUUGAUUAAUGAACUCAUUGUCACAAGACAAGAAGAACAACAACAUCAACAAGAAUAAGAUGGCGCUUAACAUUCGUUGUGAAUCUUCCAAGCUAUGGAAGAGAUUUUGCUCUGAGAUAACGACGAAGAUUGGUCUUCUUACUGAGAACUUGAGAUAUCUUCUGGCUGGUCAUAUCCAUCAGUUUGCGGCUAAUUCCAGAGUAAAAAGGCAUGCCUAAUUCUCCAAGGAUUCCAAGCAAAUCUCAAAAAAAACUUUGGAAGAGAAACACAUUAAAAAGAAAAAGAAAACUAAUCAAAGCUUGGAAGAAGCAUGUGUUAUCUAGAAAAGCACAAGAGAAAAGGUGAAAAAAUAGAGUAAGCCUUCACCUUUUACAUACGACGAGAUAUACAGAAGGCCACCAAAAUUUGUUGAAUUGGUGGAUACAUACUGUAUAUUGGUUUGUUUUUUUUUUAAUAUAAUGUUAUUUUGUUGU